rnacentral:rRNA from 1 species
UGGGGAAUUUUGGACAAUGGGGGCAACCCUGAACCAGCGACGCCGCGUGAGUGAUGAAGGCCUUCGGGUUGUAAAGCUCUGUGGGGCGAGACGAAAGCGUCGGUUCUAACAGGACCGGCUUUGACGGUAUCGCCUUAGCAAGCACCGGCUAACUCUGUGCCAGCAGCCGCGGUAAGACAGAGGGUGCAAACGUUGCUCGGAAUCACUGGGCGUAAAGGGCGUGUAGGCGGGAAGAUAAGUCAGGUGUGAAAUCCCCAGGCUCAACCUGGGAACUGCACUUGAAACUGUCUUUCUUGAGUGUCGGAGAGGAAAGUGGAAUUCCUGGUGUAGAGGUGAAAUUCGUAGAUAUCAGGAGGAACACCGGUGGCGAAGGCGGCUUUCUGGACGACAACUGACGCUGAGACGCGAAAGCGUGGGGAGCAAA